rnacentral:rRNA from 1 species
AGAGUCCACAUCGACGGGGAGGUUUGGCACCUCGAUGUCGGCUCAUCACAUCCUGGGGCUGUAGUAGGUCCCAAGGGUUGGGCUGUUCGCCCAUUAAAGUGGUACGCGAGCUGGGUUCAGAACGUCGUGCGACAGUUCGGUCCCUAUCCGUCGCAGGCGUAGGAAAUUUGAGAAGACCUGUCCUUAGUACGAGAGGACCGGGAUGGACGUACCUCUGGUGUACCAGUUGUCCUGCCAAGGGCAUGGCUGGGUAGCUA